rnacentral:rRNA from 1 species
CCUACGGGAGGCAGCAGUGGGGAAUAUUGGACAAUGGGGGAAACCCUGAUCCAGCGACGCCGCGUGAGUGAAGAAGUAUUUCGGUACGUAAAGCUCUAUCAGCAGGAAAGAAAAUGACGGUACCUGACUAAGAAGCCCCGGCUAACUACGUGCCAGCAGCCGCGGUAAUACGUAGGGGGCAAGCGUUAUCCGGAUUUACUGGGUGUAAAGGGAGCGUAGACGGCAGCGCAAGUCUGGAGUGAAAUGGCGGGGCCCAACCCCGGAACUGCUCGGGAAACUGUGAAGCUGGAGUGCGGGCGAGGUAGGCGGAAUUCGUGGUGUAGCGGUGAAAUGCGUAGAUAUCAGGAGGAACACCGGCGGCGAAGGCGGCUUGCUGGACUGUAACUGACGUUGAGGCUCGAAGGCGUGGGGAGCAAACAGGAUUAGAUACCCUAGUAGUC